UACAGAGGUCUCAAGCGUUGUUCGGAUUCAUUGGGCGUAAAAGGGGUGCGUAGGUGGCGCCCGUAAGUCGGGGUGUGAAAAUUUUCGGGAGCUUAAACUCCGAAACUGCAUUCGAUACUGCGGUGCUUGAGGACUGGAGAGGAGACUGGAAUUCAUGGUGUAGCAGUGAAAUGCGUAGAGAUCAUGAGGAAGACCAGUGGCGAAGGCGGGUCUCUGGACAGUUCCUGACACUGAGGCACGAAGGCCAGGGGAGCAAACGGG
rnacentral:rRNA from 1 species